rnacentral:lncRNA from 1 species
CUCUGCAAAGAUCUUUGUGUGUCUGGCUCUGGGGUGUGUGUUUUUAUUUUUUUAGUGGGGGGUGGUUUAGUUUUUGAAAGCAGCGUCCUGUUGGGAAAGGUGGUUAGUCUGGUUUCGGGGCGACUGUCUCAAGGUAAAGGAAUUUAAUUUAUUUGGGACAAGGCUGUGUCGGAUGAUCAAGCUGCUUAUUAUGGCUAAUGAGUAUUUUUCACCUGAGAAUCUGUGGGAUGAGGUGGCUGUUAUCAGUUCAAAGUGAGGGGCCCCGGACUGUCUCCCACCUGCCUCUUUAGCCCCCACCCUAGGGGUGGUGAUGGACCAGACAGACUACUCAACGUAGGCAUCUGGGUUUGGGGGCCUCCUGUGGGACAAGGCCGGGGGCUCCAGGAGGCCUGGUGCUCACCUGGGGCAGUUUAUCCUGAUAUUUUGGUGUUUUCUUGGGUUUAAUCUAAUUCUUUCCAGUGUUUUUGCCUUCAGCUCUUGCGGGCUUCCCAUGGGCCCUGGCUAUUGAAACCAAAUUUUGACCAGGACCCUCACGUGCUAGGUUGACAAAAGCAGCUGUCUUCUUAAAUGUUUUAAAAGAAACAAGCAGCCCGAUCAUUCAUUGAGACUGAUCUCUGAACUCUCCUGGUUCAUUGAUGGGAUAGGUGAUACUGGUGGCUGUUAGCGUUGUUGUUUAUAAUAGGCCCAAGUUCACAGCAUCGGCCCUUGGGACCCAUGAGCUGAUAUCUGACCUUCUAAAGGUCAGUGGGCAGAGAGACCGGAGGCAGCCCUGAGGGGAUGAGGAUGGGUGGCACGGUGGCCGGUGAAGAAGGGCCUGUGUUUGUUGGGGGGAGGUGUCAUUUGCAGAGUUUGAGGACUGUGUGACACCAGGUGUGAUCUUGGCUGGUCUGACGUGGAGGGCCUGGGGACCUCUGCGCCCGGGAAGGGUGUGACACCCCCUGCUGGGCAAAGUGGUAAAGGUGUCUAAGGCCAAGGCUGCCACCCUGCCCCUCCCUGCCCUCCACUCCCACAGAGAACCUGCCUGCCCCCACCUCCAGUCGGUGUCUCAUCACCUCCCUCUCAGGCCCCACCCCCUUUCUUCGGAAAUGGGGCCCCCACCCAUCCCAGCCAAGAAGCAGACCUCAGAGAUGGGCCUGGUGGCAAUGCACCACCCCUUACCUGGGGCAGGAGAGCCUCUGCUUGUGGGCCAGCACACAGGACCCAGGCAUUGCAGAGCUGGAAGGCAGGCCCUCUGGUCGGCCUCCUCCUAACCUGGGUGCCAGCUGGAGCCAGCGUCCAUCCUCCUGCCAUCCACCAACCAGUCCCUCCAAGUCUGUCGUGGGGACAGUACUCCAAAGCCCUUCUCUAGGGUGUCCUGACUGGAGCGAGGGCCUCCCAGCCCUGGUAGGAGGCAGGUGGCAGAGCCUCUUGUGGCUUCUCUCCUGGGCCUUAGGGAGACUGACUUCUCCCAGCACUCCAGGGACAGGCUCUGGAAACUUUUCCUAGAAGCUAGAAGGGACCCUGAGGUCAGCUGCUUCCUCCUGUAGCUGGAGUAGAGCACUCCCAGUGGGACUCAGGCCUGGACUCUGGCCACUCAGAGGGGAGGCCCAGGGUGGCAGAGUUCUGACUGUUUCCUGGAGGAGUCAUCUGGUGAUACCAUCUCAGUCUCUUCUUUGAACUUGGAAGUUUCACUUAUAAUCUCAGAACUUCAGAAGAAAAGCAGUCUUCCCCCCACUUCACCAAAAAAGGGAAGCAGAUGAGGACGCUGAGAUCCCCUCUGAGCUGGUCCCUGGGCUGACUCCAUGCUCAUCUUCAGGAGCUGGGAACAGCUCCCUCAACUUCAUAGUGCACACGGCAUACAGCUGGGGCCAUGGGCCUCGUCUCUGGCCGGGGCUCGUGGCUGGUGAAGUGAGGGUCCCUUCCUCUGGGGCAGCGUGGGCAGCUUCAGCCGAGGGCCUCUCUGACAUAGUCCAAGGCCAGGGGCGCAGGCCUCGAAGGGCUGCUGGCAUCAUGGACCCACCAUGCCUCCCUGAUCGAUGACCAACCACCCCAGUUUGCCCAGAACUGCAAAGACCCAUGUGUGUGAACCCCCUCAGUCCUGG